rnacentral:tRNA from 1 species
GCGAAUGUGGCGGAAUUGGUAGACGCGCUGGUUUCAGGUACCAGUGGGUAACACCGUGCCGGUUCGAGUCCGGCCAUUCGCACGA